rnacentral:rRNA from 1 species
GACGAACGCUGGCGGCGUGCUUAACACAUGCAAGUCGAACGGUAAGGCCCUUCGGGGUACACGAGUGGCGAACGGGUGAGUAACACGUGGGUGAUCUGCCCUGCACUUCGGGAUAAGCCUGGGAAACUGGGUCUAAUACCGGAUAGGACCACUGCCUGCAUGGGUGGUGGGGGAAAGCUUUUGCGGUGUGGGAUGGGGCCGCGGCCUAUCAGCUUGUUGGUGGGGUGAUGGCCUACCAAGGCGACGACGGGUAGCCGGCCUGAGAGGGUGACCGGCCACACUGGGACUGAGAUACGGCCCAGACUCCUACGGGAGGCAGCAGUGGGGAAUAUUGCACAAUGGGCGCAAGCCUGAUGCAGCGACGCCGCGUGUGGGAUGACGGCCUUCGGGUUGUAAACCUCUUUCAGCACCGACGAAGCGCAAGUGACGGUAGGUGCAGAAGAAGGACCGGCCAACUACGUGCCAGCCGCCGCCGUAA